AUGUCGGUAGCCAAGAAGGACGAGGUUUGCGGUCAUCCGCUUGGGCUUCGAUUGGGUGAGCCGGCUGCUGGUGUUCCCAUUAAGAAAAGGCCAGUUUUCUUAUCCGACAAAUCAGUUCCAUCUGGAAUGACACUCUCCAUGAAGCCCCCAUCUACUCCGACGGGGAUGUCCGUCUCGGCUCUGGGGGCGGGCUUUAGCAACGAGCCUGUCUUGAAUAGAUCUAAAUCGGAUAUUCCCAAUAGAUCUUUUACUCCGUCGACGAACGAGAAGAAAGGCGUGCUACUUAAUGGCUCAAGCAAGAUCCCCUCUCGCGGAGAGAGUGGUAGACUAGGGAGUGCUGCUCCCGUUGCCAGAUCACAGAGUCACAAGUUUCUGACUUUGGAUUUACAGUUAGCGUCUCGUCAGAAUGUCAAAAUCAACUCUAAUUCCCCUGUCAAGAAAGAGAAACUAGAUCAGGGGUUUUCUAUAUUUCCUUCAGCAAGACCUCCCAAGGAUGUGCAAACAACAAGUGGCAUGGAAUCUUCUUCUAACGCUAGCUUGGGAAAACUAUCUAAUUUAGAUCUUAAUGUAUCACUGGACCCAGUUGAUCAACUUGAAGGUUUGCCUACAAUGCAGGCUGGCUUUAACAUACCUCAUCAUACAACAAUUCAGCAUCAGAAAGCACAGGUUCCCCCAGUGGCACCCUUUUCUUCAGUAAGCAGUCGGCUGAGUCUAAAUAUUGACAAUACUCUGAAACAGCCGCAUGCAUAUCAACUUCCUAAUAAGAGUGUAGCAGCUGAUGUUACCUUAGAUUUGCAACUUAAACCACCAACCAGACCCGAGCUUGGAAUAAGCUGGAAAGGCCUUGCUCCUGAUCCAGAGCUAAGCCUCUCUCUGUCUGGUAAUCACACAGAUGAGCCUAAGGGUCUGAAUGUUCCUGAUGCUAUAUUUACAUCUGAACCUGUUGAAAGAGCCAAUAAGAUCAGCCUGGAGGUUCCUGCACCAGUCUCUGAUAAAUCACCAGCUGAGAAGCUUCUGAAACCUGUGGCGUGUAAUGUAAAUCCUCGCACUACCAUGCCACAAACAGUUUCUGGAAAUGUGGAGAUAAUGCCCAGUAAUUUGGUGAAGAAAGAGCCUGGAGAACCUACAGGGCGACAUAUCCAGAAAAAUGUAGAAAAGGCACCUCUGUUCGUCCAACAAAGUGUUGGACAGGCUAGCAGUAGUGCUGAAUUUGAAAAAACUGGCAACCUAAACCGAGUGUGUGGUAAAGCUGGCUUUGAUUUGUACUCUGGAAAAUUUCCAAAUGGUAGUGCUGUCCGCAAUGGAUUGGAGGUAGUGACUGAUAGUGUUCCUGUACAAACUGACAAGUUGUGUGGUGUUGCUUGCACUGAGAAAGUUAUCAAGCGUGAAGAAGUGACAACUGCCAUCCCAAGCCCUGUGAUUGCAACAGUAAGUGGUCAGUCUGAGUCAUUAAUUGCUAAAUCACUGCAUUUGGAAGGUAAUGUUGCCAGCCCUGUUGCUGGAUUAUGUGAACCAGCUAGUCAACCCACCAUUUCUGCUUCGGGACCUGCAAGCUGUAAUCCUGUUAAAGCUACUACUGAUUGUAAACCAGCAGUUAAUCAGAUUCGUGCUCGCAAAAAUGUGGCCCGGAAGCCUUGUGAUGUAUCCCGAAGUUCCUCCAACCCUACAGCUGAAUCUUUGGUUUUCAAUUCUCUGCACCGUGCUGUACUUGAUGGUAUGUCCCAAGGAAGUGCUUCAAUGGACUUUUCAGAGGAUGGUGAUAAUGCUGUUUCACAGCUGCCUACUACCAAUAAGCCUCAUGUUGAGUCAUUGGGUAAUAGUCAAAUUACUGAGCUUAAUAACUUAAUCACAGAGCCGCGGAAAGAAGGUGAUAGUAAUAUGCAUCAUGACUGUUUGUCCGUGACAAAUAAGGUUCACAUUCAGGGCACUGAUGAUGUGAAGCGUGUUAAUACGCCAGAUGUCAUUGCCACUCAUUCAGGUGAGGAGGAGCAUGAAAGUGAGGUUUCUGUUAAUGGGAAAGCCAAAGACAAACAAUUGUUGACAUCUGAUAAGAAUUCCCCACUGACUAAUACUGACAUUACCAUGGAAGAUGUUAAGAUUUCCGCAGGUGCCAGUUCAGCAGAUCUUACGAGAUCACCUAUUUUGGGAGCUUCAGGUUCCCAUAAAAUAGAUUCUACGAGGCAAUCUCCCAAGACAUCUGAUAACACUGUCGAGAAGUGUAGAAUCCCAGUGAUAAAAUCUGAAAGGAGUCAGUCUCCUGAUGGUAAGCAAGCUGCUAAUUGUAGCGAGGACAAUACAAAAAUUGCUGCUGUAAAGAGUGAGCAUGGGACAGAAAAGGAAGAGAUUGCUAGAGGUUCUAAUUUACAGCCAAACGAUCCAGUUUUGGGUGAAGAUUCACUUGUUGACGGAGCUUCGACCAGUCAACUACAUAAUGAAUCUACAGAGGUAAAAUCGACAGGUGAAAGAUCAGAACACGAAAAAUCCAAACCUGACUCUUGCAUGACAUCUUCUGUACAGAAUGAAAAAGAUGGACAGGUUAAUGGGUCGCAUUGGCGAGAUGUGGCAAAUGCUUAUGUUAAUAGGUAUGAUUCUUGUUAUUCUUUUGUUUUCGCAGUCAUGUUGUAUGUAGCAUGGCUGGCUUUGCCCUGUGCGUAUUUAUGUUUCUUGGUUUUAUCCUUGACUCUUGUUACAGAAGGUUGUCUUUAUUUUUUUUACAGGAAUGAGAGAUGGGAGAGGUUCAUGCAGUCUGAGCGAGAGAACAAUAGAGAGUUCCAUGGUGGCAGAGACAUGAACAAUCAACGGAGGAUGGACCCACGUUAUCGUGGUCGUGGUGGUGGAUAUCAUGGCCAUCCAAGGAACUUCAGGGGUCCAAGAAUGAGCGAUGAGUCUGAAAUUGACUUCGAAGAUGAACCUAUUGUUGGCAGAAGGAGGCCACAUGAAAAUGACUACGGGCACUUGCACCGAACUCAGCAUAGGCGGCUGCGUUCACCACCGCAUCAGAUGCCUGGCUGCCUCAUGAGAGAAAUGGAGCAUGACAGAUUUUCUGGGAGAGAGAUUAUGGACCCUAGGCUGUUGGAACACGGGCAGAUGGAUGAUGUCCCAGAUGACAUGAUGGAACAGAGGUUUUUCAUGCCCCAUCCUCAUUCACAGCACACUCUAGGUGAUCAUGCAUUUAUCCACAGGGACAGCAGUCAUUCACCUGGUCAAAGAAGGGGCGCCCCCGUGCAUUUCCACCGGGGACGGUCCCCUGAAACCAUGCAAAGAUCACCACCACUAAACAGAAGUGACAGACCAUACUUACCUCAUCAACGCCACAUACGACGCCGUGGUUCUCCAUUCGACCGAGUAGGACAUGACGAGAGAGGUAUGCAAAGGAACAUGAAGCGGUGUGGCAUGCAUCAAGGUGUGGAAGGUGAGACCUUUGAGCCACCUUUACAUCCCGCUCAACUAGCCGAGCUACAUGCAGAGGCUGAGCUUACAAAGAGAAGGAGGUUUGGGGAGAGGAGAGCGUAUCGUCGAUCCUUGGAACGGAGCCCCAUGGGCGGCGACGAGGAGAUGCUCUCGUACCACGGCGAUGGCGACAUCGACUUUGCCGAUGGUGAUGGCGGUCCACGGGAGCCUGACGGCCGUGGCUUCAGGAACAGAAUGGAGCACCGAGCAAGGGGCGAGCAGGAAGAUGGCUUCAGGUACCGUGGCCCUCAGGGGGGGUGCCGUGACGGCAACCCGAAUGACAGUAGAUCGAAGAAGAGGAGGUACUGA
rnacentral:rRNA from 1 species